rnacentral:rRNA from 1 species
GGUUGUUCAGCACUAAUGUAUUAGAUCUCAUCAGAAUUUCGCAGUUAAGUAUGUUUGGAUGAGAAUAGUACUAAGAUGGGUAACCUCCUAGAAAGUUAUUGUGUUACACCUA